rnacentral:rRNA from 1 species
AACGAACGCUGGCGGCAGGCUUAACACAUGCAAGUCGAACGGAUCCUUCGGGAUUAGUGGCAGACGGGUGAGUAACGCGUGGGAACGUACCCUUUGCUACGGAAUAACUCAGGGAAACUUGAGCUACUACCGUAUGUGCCCUACGGGGGAAAGAUUUAUCGGCAAAGGAUCGGCCCGCGUUGGAUUAGCUAGUUGGUGGGGUAAUGGCCUACCAAGGCGACGCUCCAUAGCUGGUCUGAGAGGAUGAUCAGCCACACUGGGACUGAGACACGGCCCAGACUCAUACGGGAGGAAGCAGUGGGGAAUAUUGGACAAUGGGCGCAAGCCUGAUCCAGCCAUGCCGCGUGAGUGAUGAAGGUCUUAGGAUUGUAAAGCUCUUUCACCGGUGAAGAUAAUGACGGUAGCCGGAUAAGAAGCCCCGGCUAACUUCGUG